rnacentral:lncRNA from 1 species
UCACACAGCUCUGCUGUGACAGAUGGAAGCUGCACCAACGGCUGCAAAGAACUGAGUCUGGAGCCAAGACUGAAUUUAAUCUCCAGGGAGAAAUGUACAAACAGCUGGGAGGGCAAGGAGGAGCUGCAGUGUGCGAGGGAAAUUCUCUGGAGCAGAUUUUGGGGUGCUGGAGUGGAUCUCGGAAGCGACAUGAAUCUUUUCUGUUUUUCUCUGGAAGGUUCAAUGGACAGCUUGUAUGAGCCUGUCCCAGAACAUCAAGAACCUAAGGAUACAAUUAGUAUCAGCAGCCAAGCUAGCACUCCAGCAAGCACGUAUGUCAGCUGUGGACCACCCGAUAGGUCUAUGUCUUUGGAAUUUCCUGACUUUGAGAACACUGUGACCAAAAAAAGAACAUCCAUCCAGAAGUCCAUGUCUGAAAAUG